rnacentral:misc_RNA from 1 species
UUUGCUUUCUUGGCGUGAGCUUCGCUUUUACUUCUUGGUCGACUAUCACCGACCCGUUUGCCGCCUCAGCCCUGCUCCCUCAUUCCUCUCUGUACUCCGGCGUUCGUGCCAGUGUGUACAUGAGUAGGCCAGCAAGUACGUAUCGUCAUAGAAUUGAACAAGCUGCAUGCGUCUGCUGGAAACAAGAAGGUGCGCUGUACGCAACUACAACUGGCAGGCACUUGACGGGGCGUGUGCUCAGCAGCUCAGGUGAAAACGCUGCAGCUUCAGCCUCCGGCAAAGGAGGCAAGGGGUGGCCUCCACGUCGCUGCAACGCGCUGGUUAUGGCGCACCUCCCCCUGUCACAUGGCGUGCGCGUCAUUCCCCCGCAGACACCUGAACGAAUGACGAGGCACACGAAGAGGAGGGAAGGAUGAAGAUGAAAGAGGCGCGGAGUGCAACUGGUGCAGCUAUGACGCCAUCUUCGAAGCAAACAGUCAACGCGCGAGGAGCGCUUUCACAGGCUGAGAGUCUCUCUUCUGCUCUGCACCUCUGAGCGGCAAACAUAAAGCACUCCGAAAAGCUGAAACUUCAUCACUGCAAUAUGGCGCCGUGUGUGCAUGUUAUUGUGCGUGUGUGUGUGUGUGGCUGUGUUGAUGUUUUUUUUUUCGCUGUUGCCGCUCCUCGUCUGACAUCCUCUCAGCGUCUGCGUGCGUGCAUGCUUGUGUGCUCGCGUCUCGUUUUCCUUAGAGUGUCGGACCCCCUCCCCUCAUGACAGUGGUGGGGGAGGGGAACACCUCAGCGUGGCACCUCAGGGUAUUGCACACCCCCUACCCUAUCUCAGGGCAGAAGCGACGCAGCUCCCACCUAUCCAAUGCCGAUGCCGAGCAAGCCUCUGGUGGUGACAAGGCUAGGCACCUACGACUUGGGGGGAGGUCAGCGCGAUGUAUCGCCACUGAUGUCGGCGGUGAGGUUCUGGAUGGCGUUGCAUUGUGGGGCGACCUGCGACUGUGAACACGCUUGUGCCGUCCAUAUGAUAGGCAAAGUGCCCGAAUGACUGGAACGUAGUCCGCCGGGCCCUCACUGCCUCCUGGCGGGGUAAGCCUGGGACACCAUGAGGGGGGAUGCACCAGGUGGUGACCGGCACGAUGGGAGAGGUCGUGAGGUGACGUGCAGUGCAGGGCUUGGUUAGCGUUUGAGUCAGGGGCCUUUCUCCGAGGACUGAGUCGGCAUUGCUGUAAUGCGUGCCUACCGCUGCUUUGCGCCACACGACGGGCCUGUGACAGGGCCUGGUCAAGCGGAGUUUGAUUUAUAUUGUAUGGGCGAACAAACGCGCUGGUAAAGAAAAGUGCAUGCCCUCUUGAGCAGCAUCGCACGGACCUAGACAGACGAGAAAGAGGGCUGACUGCUUCACAUCGUGCUAAAGGCAGAGGCAGGCAGCCUACUUGCCUGCCGGUACCCUGCGCCGUGCAGAGGCUGUUCUCUUUAUCUGGGAGUGGUUCUAUUCACGCCGUUGCCGUCGGAAGGAGCUGCGUGCAUGUGUGUGUGUUGCGGCGAAAGUGGGCGCCCAGAGUGCACGCUUUUUCCGCACGUCUUCUGCUCAGCAUUCUUGUCUCUUUUAUGUGUGGCGCUGAACUUGCAGGCGCGGUGCGCUCGGCACCCGUGUGUGAUAUUCGGCUCUUACUCUCUUCGUGAGUCCAGGACGAGGUUGCCGCUGCCCCCCCCCCCUUCCUCCGCUUCUUUCUGUUGCAUCGACGUUCACCUAUUGUACCGUUCUUCCUUCUUCCUUAUUCUUGUUGUUUGUGGAUCUUGCUGCCUCCUCCACAUCUCUCCGCCCGCUAAG